UGGGCUAGGCACCAAUUUAUGAGUGUAGCA
rnacentral:piRNA from 1 species